rnacentral:rRNA from 1 species
UACGGAGGAUGCAAGCGUUAUCCGGAAUGAUUGGGCGUAAAGCGUCCGCAGGUGGCAAUGUAAGUCUGCUGUCAAAGCGUCUGGCUCAACCAGAUAAAGGCAGUGGAAACUACAUAGCUAGAGUAAGGUAGGGGUAGAGGGAAUUCCUGGUGUAGCGGUGAAAUGCGUAGAGAUUGGGAAGAACAUCAGUGGCGAAAGCGCUCUACUGGACCUUAUCUGACAUUGAGGGACGAAAGCUAGGGGAGCGAAUGGG